rnacentral:misc_RNA from 1 species
GAAAGUUGUAGUCUUUAUGUGUCAGUCAUACAUAGUUUUAUAGGUUAGUUUUCUGAAUGAAUUAUUUAUGAAUGUUUUGGUUAUUUUCUUUAGUUAUUUGCAGACAAGUCUUGUGUUGUCGGUGGAAUUAUAUUUGAUUUGUAUAGAUUAACAUAUUAGAUUAAACUGCGUGAACAAAAUAGUGAAUAAAAGGUAUUUGGUUACAGUUGGAUAGAUG